rnacentral:snoRNA from 1 species
GCACCACCUUUGUCCCGGCGCAGCGCCCGCACGGCUCCGCCGGCCCAGGCUCGGUGCCACAGCGAAGCGCUUUGCCAUAACUGGUGCUGCGCGGCGCGCCCCGCGCAGCGCUUUUAACAGCAACGCACAGCG